rnacentral:lncRNA from 1 species
GUGAAACUAGCCAACUAAACCAUGUCCACAUAUUUGUUUUAUAAAUUUAGCCACUAAUAAGCCAAGUGCAACAACUUAAUACUAUAGUACAAAGCAAAAGCUGAAAAUAGAAACAGGUUUUGAUCGCACUAGCUAGUUCAAGGGUUUGACUAAUAAAGACAGUAUCACCACCGUCGGAAUGAGGAAUUCUCCGGCAAUUUCCACGGCGGAAUCCGGCAACAAAAGUGGAAUUAGAUGGUUUUCCGGCAUGGUACACGCCGGGAAGAAGGCAUACAUGGAUAAUCAGAAGCCGAGGCAGGUUGAGAAGGCUGAGAAAGUCAUGCAUCUUAUCUGUUGGGGACCCAAAUAGUUCAUUUCUUAAGUAAGUAGUGCUUACGUUCGAAUCUUGAGAAUAAAGAAUCUUUUCAGAUGAAAGCGGUUUUCUCUUUAGUGAGUUUAUAUAUUACAAUGAAAUCUGAACAAUCGAAUUAAUGACUUCAAUUAUCGAAUGGUUAAUAAAAAAAAAAGAUUGUGUUUAUAACUUUUUCCUUUUUCCCCCCUUUUUGGGGUUUGUUUUGCCCUUUUUUCCUGUCUUAUUAUCAUCUCCUUUUCUUUCUUUUUUUUGUUUGCUUUAGUUAGUAUGGCCUAAUGGGAGAGUCGAAAUUAUUAUGUUAUUUGCUCUCUAGGAGAGUUUGUAAUUAUAUAUUAAAUGUUGUUAAAAAUAUGUUUUGGUGGGAGAUGUUUCGUCUAAAUUUUCCAAAUUGAACCAAUAUGUGAUAUUCUCAGAAAUACAAAAUGGAAAUCAAUCCAGAAUACUAGUAGUAAAUUUCUAACUUCAUUUUAGACGAUUCGACUUGAUUUGAGUUAUUAGUUCUGUGGUUUUACAACUUAAUUAGAUAGAAAACCUUCACCUAAAAAAACAUAAACAUAUAGUUAUGACCGAACACCACCUCAUAAUAAACCUAAGAAAUAAUGAAUUCAGUUGUGAAAUUGAGAAGAAAAGAGGCAAGUGAGGACAAUUUUAUGGGUCGUCGAUAAUCAAAGAGGUAAGGUCUGCGUAUACUCUAUCCUCCCCAGAUUCCACUGAUGAAAUUUUACUAGGUGGUUGUUGUUGUUUUUGUUGAUAAGCAAAAGAGGGCCUUUUAGUGUGUGUGUGUGUAUAUAUAUAGUAGUUUAUAGACAAAUAAAUUAAUUUGAUCCCAUGAUAAUGAAUAAGUUAGACAAACAUAAAAUACUUAGCAUUGAUAUGGAGACAGAACAACAGAAAUCGUAAUAUCGGGAGCAGGGCUUCCGAGGACAAUAAUCACGAUAUAAAUGAGCAAAAAGAUAAAAUUAUAUUGAGCUCUGAACAAAGUGUAGCAUAUGUUUGUAAGAAAAUUCGUGUCAUUUACAAUGAUAAUAUUGCUCAUUAUUAUAGUUGCACCUAGGGAACAAGGUCCUAGGAUCAAGCCCCUCUUUAAUGACAAUUAUGAGGGCUAUUGAAGAAUGUGUAACAGUAGGCAAUGAAUGUCAUAUUCUCUAUAACAGUCCACAUACUUAAUGCUGUAGAAAAUUCUUUAUUAAAUGCUACCGGGUGGCAGACAAUUAUUUCACCUUCAUGAGGAUCAUUUUCUUCGAUAACAGACGAGAUCGUUGCCUUCGGAUCCGACUUCCUUCUAUCUUCGGCUCUAUGUCACUUUCUCAUGUGAUCAUUUAAUAUAAACACAUUUUACCCUAUACAUAUGGCCCCCUUGCUUUUCGAUGGCAUAACUUUGUGUCAACGGGAAGUUGGUAGAAAUACCUUUUUUGGCGGAAAAUUCUCUGGCCCCCGCCGAAAAGUUUCUGACAGCUGAUUAGACCCAUGUCUCUUUGCAUUUAAUGCCCUGAACACGCGUCAUCCCACGAUUCAUCACCACUUUUGUCGGUUAUCGAGGUAAUUAUGGCCACGAUUUUAGCCGCCUAUUCCGUUACUUAUACGUAUCAAACUUCUCCAUUUACACUUCAUAACCUUCCAAACUCUCUCGAACUCUUUUUGUUUAACUUAUACUUGUCCUCAACUUUCCCAAAUCUUCUCUUUUAGUGAAGACCCUUUCCUCUUUUUUGAUAGCAAUGGCCUCUUCUUCCAGAAACCUUAGUUCUUCAAAGAACAAAGGUAAAGUUGAUGACAUUGCUCCUCUUACGGUGAGCACCAUCAUCCCAAAGAGUCUUAUCAAAACGAAGGACUUCAAAGAGAAGUUUCCUACCGUUAAUUCACGCACGUGGGUUGUUGGCAUGUAUCCUUCUUCUAUCCGUCCUUCCAGCAUCCCUGUUGUGAAGGAAAACCGACAUUGCCUUGAUUUGAACAUCAUCGCUCGUGACCUGUCGGAGUCGAUAAUCUUACCCAAGAAAGGUUUUACGUAUUUUUAUAUGUAUCCCUUCACUUUGGGGCCAUUCUCUUUGAACUGGGAGCUUAACUCUGUUAUCACGGAGCUCUGCAUCCGUUAUCAGGUAUACCUGGCGCAGGUAAGUCCUUCUGUGUGGAGGACAAUUGCUUGUCUUAGGCGUCUAUGCCAGGAGACAGGAGAAGAGCUAACCUUGGCUUGAUUAAUGAUCCCCCAAGAUUUUCCGUGGGAGAAUGAUAAAUUUCAGCAAGUGUGGCCACUAUGCUCUGCUAUCCAGCAUGGAUGAUGAUAACGAUCGUGAGUGGAAGGAACGGUUCAUCAUAGUUGCCACAAGCGACAUCAUUCCGGCCACGGCUUCAUCCUUUUCGGAAUUAUGGAACCUAACUCAUAAGUUCAUCAUUUGUCUUUUCUUUCAUUAAAGAUCGCCCCAUAUCGUUAUUGGACCUUCUUCUUUAGCUUAUUUCAGCAACUCGGUGGGUACCACCUAGGGUUGAAGGCUUGGAUCAGUGGGUCCAAAAAAAUUUGAAUGUUACUAUGCUCGAGACCCGCACGUGGAAAAAACUUGCCCUUAAAUAUGGGUGGGAGGCCAAGAAUCAUGGUAAGUUGAACUCAUCUUGUUUUUACUGUAACGACAUGGCCAGUUGUUUUGAGUAUUUUAGCCCCUAUCCCCUAUAUUAUGCUUCCUCUAUGCUAUACUGUAGUUAUGUAACUUGCCUGGGUGGUUGGUUUUGGUUUCGGGUGAGUUUUGGAGUGAAAUGGGAUACAUAGUCCCUAAGUUGGAAGGUUAAGUCGUAGGAGUUGACCGUAGAUUGACUUGUAUGAAGACGACUUCGGAAUGGAGUUUUGACAGUUCCAAUAGCCCCUAUGGUGAUUUUUGUCGUAGAAGCAUGUCCGAAGGGUAAUUUGGAGGUCUGUAGGUUGUUUCGGCGUGAUUUGGCGAAAUUUGAAAAGUUGGAGGAUUUUUGGAAAGUUUGACCAUGAGUUGUCUUUAUUGAUAUCGGGGUCAAAAUCCAAUUUCGAAAGUUGAAAUAUGUCUGCAAUAUCAUUUAUGACUUGUGUGCAAAAUUUGAAGUCAAUCAGAGUUAUUUUGGUAUGAUUCGGCAUCGGUUUUAGAAUUCGGAAGUUCAUAAUUUCUUAGGCUUGAAUUUGGAUUGCGAUUCGUAGAAUUUAUGUUAUUGGAUGUGAUUUUUGUCCUUGAGUAGGCCUGUUAUUUAUUUUGAAACUAUUUGGUAUAUUCGAGCGGGGUCCCGGAGGCCUCGGGUGUGAUUCUGAUCGAAUCCGGAACAAUUUGGACUUAUUGAAUUUUGCUGAAGGUUGGCAGCUUCUGGUGUCUUUGCACUUGCGGAGGGAUUAGCCGCAGAUGCGGGCUUGCAAAAACGAGCACUUGGUCGCAAAUGCGGAGCUAGGCAUGCCCAACUGGGGGCGCAUGAGUGGGAAAUGUUCCACAGAAGCGGCUUCGCUUAUGCAUUGGAGGGGAACGUAGGAGCGACAGUGGUAACAGGUGAGACGCUUGUGCCGCAGGUGCGCAUGCGCAGAUGCGAACCUUUUUCCGCAGAUGCGGAUAUCUUGGACUUAAGUGAAGACCGCACCUGCGAUGGUUUUCCCGCAGGUGCGUAGCCACAGAUGCGGUAGAAAGGUCGCAGGUAAGAUUUAACUGGCAGAAAAAGGGGAAAUUCGAGGCUUAGUUUUCAUAAUUUAUUUUGGGAUUUUGGGAGCUCAGUGGGAAAUGAAAUUUCGAGGAAUUUUCAGUGAGAAUGUUGGGGUAAGAAGAAGCCUUAACUCAAUUUUGGUUAAAUUACUCGAGUCUAUCAUUGUUUUAUCAUGUAAUUAGGGAUUGGAGUUGGAAAAAUUGGGAAAAGGUGGUAGAACUUCUUAGACUAAGUUUUUAGUUUUGAAAAGCGAAUUGAGGUCAGAUUUGAAUAAUUCUUGUGUGAUUGAACUCGAUAUCGAAUGGGUGUUCGAAUUUUAUAAUUUUGGUCGGGUUUCGAGAUGUGGACCGAGUUGACUUUUUGGGUUGAUUUUUCAAUUCUUUGCAAAGAUCGUAAUUUCACUGUUUGAAUUAGUUUCCUAUAGUUAUAAUUUUAGUAUGAAAUUUUGGCUGAAUUCGAGCCGUUCGGAGUUGGAAAAUCGAGGGAAAGGUCUUCUAGUGGAUUGACUUAGCAUGAUUUGAGGUAAGUGGCUUGCCUAACUUUGUGUCGGGGAACUUUCCCUUAGGAUUGGUGUUACUUGUGAUAAUUGUGAUGUGCAAAAGCCGUGUACGAAAGGUGACGAGUGUGUACACGGGCUAAAUAUGAAAAUUAUCGGUUUUUGGCUGUGUAAAUUCCUUUCAUGUCAUAGUUGAGUUGCUUUAACAUGUUAUAGUCUUCAUUUUUAGUCUAAUUCUAUAUGUCUACUUCUCUUAUCCCUUACUGGCUAAUUGCUCUACAUGUUUAGUCAAAAUUCUUGUUUCUUUUAUUCCGUAUUCAUUAUUAACUAUGGAAUUCUUUAUUGAAAUUAUUAUUUCUUGGAAUAUCUUGUCGUUAAAAUUAGUAUUGAGUUGCAAGGGCCGUGAUUCUAUUGAGGCAAAGUGUUAAGUUGUUAAACAUCAUGCUAUUGAGUUAUUCCUCGGGUUGUUAAUUGUUGAGACUUUGUGUACAUUGUGUUUGAGUCGUGGGCUCCUUGUUGUGAAAUUAUGUUAUUGUUUGGUUUCUCUGGCACGUUGUGAUAUUGGGCCCUUGAGGUGUGGUUUAUGAUAAGUUGUGAUAGUGAUACGCAUGUGGUGGUAUAAGGUUUGGGUGUUGAAACACAUGCGGUGAGAUAAGGUGGUCUUGAUACGCAUGGUUAGUAGGAAACUACUAGAAUCCAUGCGGUAUGAUAAGGUGGGCUGAAACGCGGGAUGCUAUUUCGGGAAAAAUAAUUUUCAAAACUAAAUGUAAAGACUCCCGCGGUGAUAUAAGAAAAGAUUUUGAUUUAUUUUGUGAUUUGAGACUACGAGGCGGUACCUCAGUAGUGACUCUUGUUGACAUUUUCCCAUUUUCUUGUCUUGAUCGGUUUUUCCUUAGCAUAUUAUUAAAUGUCUUGCUCUAUGUUGCACUAUUUGCUUAGUUUCGUGUAUCUAAUCUUGUUAUGCUAUUCGUUUGUUUAAUUUUCAUUACUAUCUUAUUAUACUAUCUAUAUUGUUCAGUCUUUUAUUUAUUUUUAGUAGGGCCUGACUUGAUCUCGUCACUUCUCUACCAAGGUUAGUUUUGGCACUUACUAGGUAUCAUUGUGGUGUACUCAUGCUACUCUUCUGCAUAUAUUUUUAUGCAUAUCCAGGUGCUUCCUACUAGCCCAGGCGUUAGUUAGGAUUCUACUGCGAAGACUUCAAGGUAUACUUGCCGGUGUCCGCAGGCCUUGGAGUCCCCCUCUCUCUAGAUCUCUUAUUUCGUCAUCCUUAUUAUAUACUCGUGAUGCAUAUGAUUAUACAAUACUCAUACUUAGAGAUUGUGACUUGUAUUUUCACCGGGCCUCGGGAUUUGUGUAUGAUGUGUUGAAGUGUUGGUAUAUAUAUAUCUAUUGAGUUUGAGAAGUUUAUUUACUAUUAUUUCAAUUAUUUUGCAUGUUGUUAGGCUCACCUAGUUGUUGUCACAGCAUCCUACAGAGGAAAUUCGAGGUCAUGACAAGUUGGUAUUAGAGUUCUAGAUUUAUAGGUGUUAUGAGUCACAAGCAAGUUUAGUAGAGUCUCGCGGAUCGAUACGGAGACGUCUGUACUUAUCUUUGGGAGGCUAUGGAACUGUUAGGAAAAGCUUCACUUCUUUGAUUCCUUAUCAUGCGAAAUUGUUGACUUCGGGAUUCUAAACUUCUGUCUUUCUGUUCUCUCAUAGAUGGUGUGGACACGUAUAAUUGGAUCGGAUUACGAGAUACCCACGUCCCCUAAUAGAGCCUCGAGAGGCCGGGGCCGAGGACGUCCAUGUGGUGCAGCCAGAGCACCUGCACGAGCUGCUACAGAGGAACCACCAGUAGCUCUAGUUGGAGAACAGGCACCUGAGACGUCUGUUACUACCCAGCACUCCAGGAGACUCUCUCCCAAUUUCUGAGCAUGUUCGAUACUUUAGCUCGGGCAGGGUUGAUACCACUUUCUCUUGCCACAUCUCGGGCUGGGGGAGAAGCACAUACUUCCGCCACCCAUACCCUAGAGUAGUGGGCCCAAGUUGACCAGGUCCCAAAGGUCAUACCAAUACAGUUGGUCGUUCCAGUUCGGCCCGAGGUUAGGGCAGCAACUUUUGAGGGGGAGCAGCUCAGGCUCGAGAGGUACAAAAAUUACAACCCUCAUACUUUCAGCGGCUUGGCGUCAGAGGAUGCCUAGUGUUUUCUUGAGGAGUACCACCGUAUCCUCUGUACGAUGGGUAUUGUGGAGUCUAGUGAGGUUGUUUUCACUACAUUCUAGCUUAAGGGAGCAGCUUAUUAUUGGUGGCAAGCAUAUGAGUUGUGUAGUCCGACCGAGGCAGCUUCACUCACUUGGGCUUAAUUUUCAGAUAUGUUCUUGAGGGAGUUUGUUCCCCAGAGUCUUAGAGAUGCAUGGCGCGCAGAGUUUGAGCAGUUGCGCCAGGGUUCUAUGAUCGUAUCGGAGUAUGCGAUCCAGUUCAGUGAUUUGUCUAGGCAUACACCAGCCUUGGUUGCUACUGUUAGAAAACGAGUCCAUCGAUUUAUCGAGGGGCUUAACCCGGAUUCAGAUUUAGCAUGACUCGAGAUUUGGAGAUGAACAUUGCAUACCAGCAGGUAGUGGAGAUCGCUAGGAGGUUAGAGGGUAUGUGGGCCUGGUAAAGAGAGGAGAGGAGGGCCAAGAGGCCUCGAGAUUCUGGCACAUAUAGUGGUGCCUGUGCCCCAGUUGCAGCUCGUCAUGGUAGGGGCUAUGUGAGUCACUUUGUUCAUUCAGUACUUCCAGCUUCCAGCGGUAUUCUGGCCACUCCUAGGCCUCAGGAUCCCUUUUAUGCACCGCCAUUAUCUAGUGCACCUCCUGCACGGGGUGCUUUUAGCAGUCAGUCCAGCUGCUCAGGCUUUAGCCAACCACAACAACCAAGUCCUCUGAGAGCUUGUUUUAAGUAUGGUGACACUCGUCACAUGGUGAGGGAUUGCCCCAGACUCAGGAGGGGUGCACCUCCACAGACCACUCAGGCUCCGCGUAUUCCACCGGGUCCUCAGGACAUGGUGACCGCACCAGUUGCCACUCCAGCUGCAUAGCCAACUAGAGGUGGAGGUCAGGCAGGUAGAGGUUGCCAUAUAAGGAGAGGUCAGGCAAAAUAUUAUGGUCUUCCUGCUAGGACGGAGGCAGUUGCAUCCGACUCACUCAUCAUUGGUAUUGUUCUGGUCUGUCAUAGAGAUGCAUCAGUCUUAUUUGAUCCAAGAUCCAUUUAUUCCUAUGUGUCAUCUUACUUUGCUCUAUAUUUGGGUGUAUCUCGUGAUUCUUUGAGUUCUCUAGUUCAUGUAUCCAUACCCGUGGGAGAUUCUAUUGUUGUUAACCGUGUGUAUUGGUCGUGUUUAGUUGUUCUUGGUGAUUUUAAGACCACAGUCGAUCUAUUAUUGCUCAGUAUGGUAGAUUUUGAUAUUAUUUCGGGCAUGAACUGAUUGUCAUCCUCUUAUGUUAUUCUCGAUUGUCACGCCAAGACCGUGACGCUUGCUAUGCCAGGGUUACAUGGGUAGAGUGGAGAGGUGCUUUAGAUUAUGUUCCUAGUAGGGUUAUCUCAUUUCUAAAGGCUCAGUGUAUGGUUAAGAAGGGGUGUAAUGAUUAUCUAUCUUUCGUGAGAGAUGUCAGUGUUGAUACUUCUACCAUGGAGUCAGUUCCGAUAGUGCAGGAUUAUCCAGAUAUAUUUCCGGUGGAUCUUCUGGACAUGUCGCCCGAUAAGGAUGUUGAUUUUUGUUAUUGAUUUAUUACUAGUCACUUAGCCCAUUUCUAUUCCACCCUAUCGUAUGGCCCCAAUAGAGUUGAAAGAAUUAAAGGAGCAGUUGCAAGAGUUGCUUGAUAAGGGCUUCAUUCAGCCCAGUGUGUCGCCUUGGGGUGCUCCAGUCUUGUUUGUAAAGAAGAAGGACGGUUCUAUGCAUAUGUGUAUUAAUUAUCGCAAGAUGAACAAGGUUACAGUGAAGAAUAUGUAUCCAUUGCCACAUAUUGAUGAACUAUUUGAUCAGCUAGAGGGCGCCAGAGUGUUCUCCAAGAUUGACUUCCGUUCAGGCUAUCAUCACUUGAAGAUUUGGGAGCCAGAUAUACCGAAGACUACCUUCAGGACUCGGUAUGGUCAUUACGAGUUCCCUGUGAUGUCUUUUGGAUUGACCAACGCCUCAGAAACAUUCAUGGAUUUGAUGAACAGUGUAUUUCAGCCCUAUCUUGACUCAUUUGUCAUUGUGUUUAUUGACGAUAUUUUGGUGUACUCCCAAAGUCGGGAGGAUCAUGAGCAGCACUUGAGGACUGUACUCUAGACCUUGAGAGAAAAGAAGUUAUAUGCAAAAUUUUCAAAAUGUGAAUUAUGGCUUUAUUCGGUAGCAUUUUUAGGCCAUGUAGUGUCGAGUGGGGGGAUCAUUGUAGAUCCGAAGAAUAUUGAAGCAAUGUAGAGUUGGCCCAGACCGUCUUCAGCUACGGAGAUCCGGAGUUUUCUUGGUUUGGCGGGGUAUUACCAUCGAUUUGUAGAGGGUUUCUCAUCUAUUUCAUAGCCUAUGACCAAAUUAACCCAGAAGGGUGCUCUAUUCAGGUGGACCGAGGAGUGUGAGGAGAGAUUUUAAAAGCUCAGGACUGUUUUGACUACAGCCCCAGUGUUGGUAUUGCCUACAGGUUCAGGGUCUUAUACUGUGUAUUGUGAUGCAUUACGUAUUGGUCUCGGUGCGGUAUUGAUGCAGGACGGUAGGGUGAUUGCCUACGCAUCUAGAUAGAUGAAGGUGCAUGAGAAGAACUAUCAUGUCCACGACCUUGAGUUACAAGCUAUUGUUCAUGCCUUGAAGAUUUGGCCGCACUAUUUGUACGGUGUUCCUUGUGAGAUCUACACUGACCACCAGAGUCUACAGUAUCUGUUCAAAUAGAAGGAACUUAACUUGCGUCAAAGAAGGUGGUUAAAGUUGCUUAAGGACUAUGAUAUCACCAUUCUGUAUCACCCCAGGAAUGCCAAUGUGGUGGCCGAUGCCUUGAGUCGCAAGGUGGAGAGUUUGUGCAGCUUAGCAUAUCUAUUGGUAGUGGAGAGGCCAUUAGCAUUGGAUGUUCAGGCCUUGGCCAACCAGUUUGUUAGAUUGGAUGUUUCUGAGCCAGGUCAAGUUUUGGCUUGUGUGGUUUCUCGGUCUUCUCUUCAUGAUCGUAUCAGAGAGCGUCAGUAUGACAGCCCCCAUAUGCUUGUCCUUAAGGACACAGUUCAGCAUGACAAUGCUAAGGAGGCCACUAUUGGAGAUGAGGGUGUAUUAGGGAUGUAGGGCAGGCUAUGUAUGCCCAAAGUAGAUGGUUUGAGUGAGUUGAUUCUCCAGGAGGCUCACAGUUCGUGGUACUCCAUUCAUCCAGUUGCCGCGAAGAUGUAUCAGAACUUGAGGCAGCAUUAUUUGGUGGAGGAGAAUGAAGAAGGACAUAGUGGAGUAUGUAGCUCGGUGCCUAAACUGUCAGCAGGUGAAGUAUGAGCAUUAGCGGCCAGGUGGAUUGCUUCAAAAGCUAGAGAUUCUAGAGUGGAAAUAGGAGCGAAUUACUAUAAAUUUUGUUGUUGGGCUCCCAUAGACUCAGAGGAAGUUCGAUGCAGUUUGGGUGACUGUGGAUAGGUUGACCAAGUCAACUCAUUUCAUUCCAAUGGUGACUACUUAUUCUUCUGAGCAGCUAGCCCGAGUUUAUAAUCGCGAGAUUGCCAGGCUUCAUGGAGUGCCGAUAUCCAUCAUCUCUGGCCGGGGUACAUAGUUUACAUCGCGGUUCUGGAAAGUCGUACAACAAGAGUUAGGUGCACGAUUUGAGUUGAGCAUGGCAUUUUACCCGUAGACGGAUGGGAAGUCCGAGUGCACUAUUUAAAUAUUGGAGGAUAUGCUUCGUGCAUGUGUGAUGGAGUUUGGGGUUUCUAGGGAUCAGUUCUUGCCGCUUGCGGACUUUUCCUAAAAUAACAACUACUAGUCAAGCAUUUAGAUGGCUCCAUAUGAGGCUUUGUAUGGUAGACGGUAUCGGUCUUCGGUGGGUUGGUUUGAGCCGGGUGAGACUAGGCUAUUGGGUGCAGACUUGGUUCAGGAUGCUUUGGAAAAGGUUAAAAUUGAUUCAAGAUCGACUUCGUACAAUCCAAUCCAGAUAUAAGAGUUAUGUGAAUCGGAAGGUUCGCGACAUUGAAUUCGUGGUUGUGGAGUGGGUCUUGCUCCAAGUUCGCCCAUGAAGGGUGUUAUGAGGUUCAGGAAGAAGGUCAAGUUGAGCCCUAGGUAUAUUGGGCCAUAUGAGAUACUUGAGAGGAUUAGAGAAGUGGCAUAUAGGCUUGUAUUACCACCUAGUCUAGCUGUAGUUCAUCAAGUAAUCCAUGUUUCUAUGCUCCGGAAGUAUCACGGCGAUCUAUCUCAUGUGUUAGACUUCAGCUCAGUCCAGUUGGACAAGGAAUUGUCUUAUGUUGAGGAGUCGGCGGCCAUUUUGGACAGGAAGGAUCCAAAGUUGAGGUCGAAGAACAAUGCUUUAGCGAAGGUUCAGUGGAGGGGUCAGCUAGUCGAGAAGGUGAAUUGGGAGACGGAGCAUGAUAUAUAUAACCAUUAUCCUUAUCUUUUCACCACUUCAGGUAUGUCUCUAUACUUGUUCGAGUACGAACGUUUGUUUUAAUAGGGGGAGGAUGUAACGACCCGGCCGGUCAUUUUGAGUAUUUUAACCCCGAUCCCCUAAAUUAUGAUUCCUCUAUAUUAUAUUGUGGUCAUGUAACUUUUCGAGGUGAUUGGUUUUGGUUUCGGGUGAGUUUCAAAGUGAAAUGGGGCACAUAGUCCCUAAGUUGGAAGGUUAAGUCGUAGGAGUUGACCAUAGUUUGCCUUGUGUGAAUACGACUCCAUAAUGGAGUUUUGACGGUUCUAAUAACUCCGUAUGGUGAUUUUGGUUAGGAGUGUGUACGAAUGUUGAUUUGGAGGUCUGUAGGUCGUUUCGGCGUGAUUUGGCAAAAGUUGGAAAGUUGGAGGAUUUUGGAAAGUUUGACCGGGAGUUGAGUUUAUUGAUAUCGGAGUCGGAAUUUGAUUCCGGAUGUUGGAAUAGGUCCGUAAUAUCAUUUAUGACUUGUGUGCGAAAUUUCAAGUCAAUCAAAGUUGUUUUGGUAUGAUUCGACAUCGGUUUCGGAAUUUAGAAGUUCAUAAUUUCUUAGGCUUGAAUUUGAGUUGCAAUUCGUAGAAUUUAGGUCAUUGGAUGUGAUUUUUGACCUCGAGAAGGUCCAUUAUGUAUCUAAGAACUAGUUGGUAUAUUCGGACGGGGUCCCAGAGGCCCGGGUGUGAUUUGGAUCGAAUCCGGAAUAAAUUGGAUUUGUUGAAUUUUGCUGAAGGUUGGCAACUUCUGGUGUCUUCGCACCUGCGAAGAGAUUGGCUGCAGGUGCAGGCUCAUAAAAAUGAGCACUUGGUCGCAGAUGUGGAGCUGGGCAUGCCCAGCUAGGGGCGCAGGAGCAGAAAAUGUUCCGCAGAAGCAGCUUCGCUUCUGCAAUAGUGGGGAACGCAGGAGCGACAAUGGUCGCAGGUGCGACGCUUGUGCUGCAGGUGCGCAUGCGCAGAUGUGAGCCCUUUUCCGCAGAAGCGAAUUCCUUGGACUUAAGUGAAGUCCGUACCUGCGAUGAGUUUUCCGCAGGUGCGCAGCCGCAGAUGCGGCAGAAAGGUCACAAGUGCGAUUUAACCGGCAGAAAAAUGGGAAAUUUGAGGGUUAGUAUUCAUAAUUCAUUUUGGGAUUUUGGGAGCUCGGUGGGAGACGAAAUUUCGAGGGAUUUUCAGAAAGAACAUUAGGGUAAGAAUUGUUAAUUCGAUUUUGGUUAAAUUACUCGAGUUUAUCAUUGUUUUAUCAUGUAAUUAGGGAUUGGAGUUGGAAAAAUUGGGAAAAAGUGGUAGAACUUCUUAGACUAAGUUUUUGAGUUUUGAAAGACGAAUUGAGGCCGGAUUUGAAUAAUUCUUGUAUGGUUGGACUCGAUAUCAACUUGGUGUUCGAAUUUUAUAAUAUUGGUCGGGUUCCGAGAUGCGGGCCCAAGUUGAUGUUAUGGGUCGGUUUUUCAAUUCUUUGCAAAUAUCAUAAUUUCAUUGUUUGAAUUAGUUUUCUAUAGUUAUAUUUAUAAUAUGAAAUUAUUUUGUAUUGAUUCAAGCCGUUCGGAGUUGGAAUAUCGAGAAAAAUGCCUUCUAGUGAAUUUAUUUAGCAUGAUUUGACGUAAAUGGUUUGUCUAACUUUGUGUGGGGGAGAUACCCCUUAGGAUUGAUGUUACUUGUGAUAAUUGUGAUGUGUAAGAGCCGUGUAUGCAAGAUGACGAGUGUGUACACAAACUAAAUGUGGAAAUUACCAGUUUUUAGCUAUGUAAAUUUCUUUCAUGUGUUAAUUGAGUUACUUUAACAUGUUAUAGUCUUCAUUUUUAGUCUAAUUUCACAUGUCUACUUGUCUUAUCUCUUACUUGUAAUUUCUCUACAUGUUUAGUCGAAAUUUUUGUUUCUUUUAUUCCGUAUUCAUUAUUUAACUAUGAAAUUCUUUAUUGAAAUUAUUAUUUCUUGGAAUAUCUUGUUGUUGAAAUUGGUAUUGAGUUGCAAGGGCUAUGAUUCUAUUUAGGCAAAGUGUUAAGUUGUUUAAUAUCAUGCUAUUGAGUUAUUCUUCAGGUUGUUACGUGGGCUCCUUGUUGUGAAAUUCUGUUAUUGUUUGGUUUCUUGCACAUUGUGAUACUGGGCACUUGAAGUGCGAUUUGUGAUAAGUUGGGAUAUUGAUAUGCAUGCGGUGGUAUAAGGUUUGGGUGUUGAAACGCAUGCGGCAAGAUAAGGUGUGCUUGAUACACUCACUACAACAAAAAAGCUUUUUAGCGACAAUAGAUAUGCAUUUUAGCAGCAAUUGUUAUUGUCGUAAAAACUUUUAGCGGCAAUUGAUCAUUAACCGUUGUAUCCAGCGUCGCUAAAGGUUUUAGCGGAAAAUAGACUGAGUGCUGGUAAAUGUCCCAUUUAUUGCCGCUAAAAGAUCUGACAUUUAGUGGCAUUUAUAUACUAGCAAUUACAAGAGCCACUAUAAUUAUCCCAUAACCUAAGUUGCUCGGACUCGGGUGUGGGUAUUCGAUACGGGGACGAAUCCUAGUAUCGAAUUCGGCAAAAUCUAAAUUUUAUAAUUCGGGAGUGCGGAUCCAGAUAUGGAUACGGGUGCGGGAUUCGGCUAAUAAAAAAUAGAGCUAUAAAAAUAUUAUAAAUUUUGAGGGAUUUUCUGUGAAAAACUUACAUAAAUAUUGCACAAUUCAAUCUUUCAUUUCCCAAGAUGGACAUUAUUCUUUCAUUGUUCUAAAUCUGUUUUAUUUUUGAUUUUGAGAACUCAAAAUCUCAGUUUUUCUACCAAAGUUGUCGAUGGACUCCGGUCAAAGUGUCCGAAGUCAGUUGACUAUAUCCAGGACGUAUCCAGUCCUCGUAUUCGUAUCUAUCCCGUAUCAGGAUGGGAACAGCACCAAAAUCGAAGAGUCCGCGCAACUUAGUCCAUAACUAGCCUUCUAUUUGGUCUUAGCAGCAUCUGUUAUGGUCGGUAAAUAUUAAUUUUUUUGCCGUUAAAGAAAAUCUUUUAAUGACCUUUCUUAUUGCCGGUAAAACUAUGCAUAAAUUGUCAAAUGCUAAUCGUCGGGAAACUAUAAGCCUUUUCGACAUAAAGGUAAUAACAAAAACUGCACAUAUAUAAUAACAUAAAUGUAUAUAAUAAAAUAUGCAAAUAUUUAUUCUAGGAAGAAUAAGGUGUUUCACUAAAUUCAUAAUAUACAGAGAUAAUUACAAGUUCAUACUUUAGAGUUUCAGCAAAAAAAAAUAAAAAAAUACACCAUUUGAAUCCAACAAUAGUUUUUUCUCCUCCUGACAAAUCUAGUUCUUUCUGUGUCAAUUUCUGCGUCCAAGGAUAUCAUAAUUAGAUGAGUUAGAACAAAGCAUCUUCAUUGACUGUAGAAAGUCAGUUCUUGUUGACUCCAGCAAGUUUCAUCCAUUGGAUACUAGUUCUGCAGCCAUGUAAUUUGUGGAUUGUAGAUUUAAAUUGAACUGCAGAACAAAAGUUUUUUUUUUGUCAAAAUAAACUUUUUUAUUCAACCAAGUAAAGAUUUAUACACAGCUAACUCUUUUGGACCCAAGAGUUAGUUCUCUAGGAAAAUUAAAACUACGCUAUAAUCUAUCUAUGCUGGGUAAUAAUUUAACCUAUCUAGUAUACUCUUCCAUUUUGCAAUUGCUCUGUCCUUUAAUAUGUAACUGUAUUACAAUUUCCUUCACUCUCUGUCUAGCCUCUUGCUUCCUUUGUUGAAAUCUUCUUGCAUUUCUCUCUGCCCAGACAUGAUAGACAGUUGUUGCAAAGAGAAAUCAUAGAAUAUGAGUCCUUGGUCGAUUGUUCCUUUUAAUUCUGCAGCCAUGUAAUUUGUGGAUUAUAGAUUUAAAUUAAAACUGCAGAAUAAAGUUGCAUAAAACUUAGGCAUAUACUCAUGAAAUGGGAUUAGUUUAUCUAUAGUUGUAAUGUAAAAAAUGAAGGAUAAAAUGAACCUUGAUUCUUUAGUCAAAUUCUCAUUUCUAGCUCUUUGCUCACAUGCUAGUUCCUAACUUCCUGUUAGUAAGUAAAACACACAUUCAGACAAGUAAACUUGGAUUUGGUUUUUGGAAAAUACUAGACAAACAUAUAAAACCAUUUGAAACCUUUCCAGUUCAAAUGUACCCUUCUCCUCAGUAAUAAGUUUUUUUUCUCCUCAAGUUCAGUGAAUUUCUACUAAAAAUGGCUGUAAAUCUUUUGUUCUUGCAAGUUUGCUUGUAGAGUUGCAACGCAGAAUACUUACUGCUAGUUGUGAAAGCAAUAUUUUCACCUACUUAACCAUGCUCGAUCCAACUACAAGUAUAAAUGAAAAAGAUGAAUGUUUGAACAUCUUAUUAAUACAAUAGAAUUCACAUUUGUCUUUAAUGGUGAAAAAUAAGCUUAGCUACUUAUGGAGAUCACAAAUAUUAAAAGUUCAUUUAAUUCUUGCCAUAUACAUUAGAUGCAGUUCUACUUUUCAUCUGUAGAUCACCUCCCCAGCUCGUCUAAUUUUAAGAACCAUCAAUACUCCAUUUCUUAUUCUAAUAAACUUGAAUUAGAUAUUUCUAAUCAAAAAAUGCCGGAGCAAUAAAUUUAUGUAAUUUAAGUCAAAACUAGAUAAUACAUUGGCCCUAGAAGAACAGAGAAUACAUAUCCAAUAUUCUUCAUUUUUUUACUAAACAUGUUAUUUUAGAAUCUUUAAACUAGUUUAAAUAUCCUCCACAUAAUAUCUUCAUUUUCAAAUAAAACAUUGAUAACGAGUAACAUCACAACUUAGAAGCCUCAUUAGCUCAGAAAUACUUCUAUUGUUCUUCGAAGUUUAACAUUUGAAACGACUCUAAUUUAACCCAUGAUGAAAAACAUUAAAGAUUUUCAACCUACGAAUGUCUAAAAUUGAUUUAUCAUCUUUUAACAAUUGAAAAUACUACUUGUAAAAUACCAUAUAUAAGUCAUUAUUGUCCAAGCGACAAUAUUUCUAUAUGACAUUUUAUCAAACACUUCAUAGGCUUCUUAAGUUAGUUCUAUAGGAGCAAACACCAAAAGUAAUAUUGUCUAAACAAAUGAAUUCAAAUCAAACUAGAUCACUAGCAAUUCAGUAAAAACAAACGAAUAAGAAAUAAACUCAUACUCCUCUUAUUACAAAAUGAGCAUCAAACAAAUGCCAAACUAAAAAAACCAAAACCAAAUUAUAAACAAUUAUUUACUGUACUUAGCUACCUACCUUCUCCGAUGGGGAAAAAAAUCCAUAAUAUACCUGCAGUAUUCUAACACUCGUACAUGAACUAACCCAUGAGCCAAAAUAAAUCUUCUGCUAGCAUUGAUAGCCUCAUAAUCCCAAGUUUUAUUCAUGCCAAAAUGGAAUAAAGAAAAAUAAUCAACAAUUACCAAAUCUUAUAAGAAUGUGAAUAGCAAAUGACAAAAAAAUAUUGAUUGUGAAAGUACCAUAGAGGUAGCCGGCAGUGACGAAGAUGUAGGUGGUAAGGCAAAGAGUUCUGAUCUACAACCGGUUAUUCGAGAUUUGCCAAUGUUAUAAUGUUUGUGUUCAUCCUUUUCUUCCCCUUUGGUUGUAGUCUGUAGAUAUGGGCUAACGAGAUUCUGAAAUAAUUUUGAUGGACGAAAAUAAGAGAAAUAAGAACAGUAAAUAAAAAACAAGCCAAGGGCGGGAGGAUUAAAAGAAGAGAGGGAAAUGAAAAAGUAUAGGGUUUCCUCUGGAGGGAAGGUUAAAAAUAAAAUAUAGGCUCUUUAGUGACUAAUUCGUUUAAUUGCCAGUAAAAUGAAACUUUUUACCGGCUAAUAUAUAUUUACCCUAACAUUCUAGUUUAGGAAUUAAAUUAGUUGCAAUUAUCUUACUGUCACUAAUUAAUUACUGCUAAAUAAUUUUUUUGUGGUAGUGCACGUGGAUAGUAGGGGAACUACUAGAAACCAUGUGGUGUGAUAAGGUGGGCUAAAACACACGAUGCUAUUUCGGGAAAAAUAAUUUUCAAAACUAAAUGUAAAGGCUCACGCUAUGAUAUAAGAAAAGAUUUUGAUUUAUUUUGUGAUUUGAGACUACGAGGCGGUACCUCGGUAGUGACUCUUGUUGACAUUUCCUCAUUCCUUUGUACUUGUCUUGAUCGUUGUUUCCUUAGCAUAUUAUUAAUGUCUUGCUCUGUGUUGUAAUAUUUGCUUAGUUCUGUGUAGCUAAUGUUGUUAUGUUAUUCAUUGUUUAAUUUUCAUUACUGUGUUAUUGCACUGUCUACAUUGUUCAGUCUUUUAUUUAUUUUCAGUAGGGUCCUAACUUGGCCUCGUCACUACUCUACCAAGGUUAGACUUGACACUUACUGGGUACCGUUGUGAUGUACUCAUGCUAUUAUUCUGCAUAUAUUUUUGUGUUGAUCCAGGUGCUUCCUACCAGCUCAGGCGUUAGUUGGGAUUCUAUUGCGGAGACUUCAAGGUAUACAUGUCGGCGUUCGCAGGUCUUAGAGUCCUCCUCUCUGUAGGUCUCUUAUUUUGUCAUCCUUAUUAUAUAGUCAUGAUAUAUAGAAUUAUAUAGUACUCAUAUUUAGAACUUAUGACUUGUAUUUUCAUCGGGUCUCGGGAUUUGUGUAUGCUGAGUUGAAGCGUUGUUUUAUAUAUAGUUGUUGAGUUUGAGAGGAUUAUUUACUAUUAUUUCAAUUAUUUUGCAUGCUGUUAGGCUUACCUAGUCUGAGAGACUAGGUGCCGUCACGACAUCCUACGAAUGAAAUUUGGGGUCGUGACAUUUACCUUUCGUAUAAGGAAGUUGAUUACCGUUUCUCUCUUGUUGAAUUCAGGUCUACCCCAGGGAUUAGUUGUCGUCCUUGAGGAGGACAUUUUGAAUAAUCAUGCUGACGUGGCGAGGCUGAAGGAGGAUUUUACCCGAACAUGUGUCUCUGAGCCUGCUUCUAGUGCAAGUGCUUUUUCUCGGAGUCCUCGGCCGGAGAACAAUCGACCAAAAAGAAGACGUUCUUCCGCGGCCGGGGAAAAAAUAAAAAGGCAAAGAGUGCCUCAUCUGAGUCGUCCAUAGACACCAUAGUGAUCGACAAUGAUGGAGAAGCCAACGAGGAUGAGGAUUCUCUACAUAGAAGAUGACGACCUUCCUCGGCUCAACAUGCUCAACCUGUUGAGUUAGUUACCCCAAUCGAGGAUGAUGCCUCGGCACUCUGGGGAGUAUUAUAUGGUGAAAAAUGCCAACUCCCGUUUUCGAAUCCUAAUCGUUGUGCCUGGUACCGCGAGGCUAGUACCGGGUCCCUACCGUCUUCAGUUGAUGAGAAUCCAACAAUCAGCAUUGCAUUUACCACAGCUGCUUCGCCAUCAGCUUUAUCUCCUUCUUCUCCAACUCUGCCUUCGCCACCAACAACUACUACAUCAUCUCCACCUGUAACGAUCCGGCCGGUCGUUUCAUGAAUUACCGCUCCAUUUCCCCCUUUUUUACUUCUUUAUGCUUGUUUCGUCUGUGUUAUAUGGUAUCGGGUUGGUCGGUUCAAAUUCGGAAUGAUUUUGGAAAGGUUUGAGACACUUAGUCUCUUUUGAGUAAGCUUAAGUUGGAAAAGUCAAUCAGAUGUUGACUUAUGUGAAAAAGGUCUCAAAUGUGAAUUUUGAUGGUUCGGAUAGCUUCAUGAGGUGAUUUGGGACUUAUGAGCGUGAUCGGAAUGUGUUUUGGAGGUCCAUAGCAGAUUUAGGCUUGAAUUGGCGAAAUUGGAAUUUUGGCAUUUUUCCGGUUGGUAAUGAAGAUUUUGAUAUAGGGGUCAGAACGUGAUUCCGGAAGUUGGAGUAGGUUCGUUGUGUCAUUUGUGACGUGUGCGCUAAAUUUCAGGUCAUUCAGAUGAGGUUUGAUAGACUUUUUGAUCAAAAGCGAAAUUUGGACGUUUUUGGAAACCUUAGGCUUGAAUCCGAUGUUAUUUUUUGAUUUGACGUUGUUUUAGGUGUUUCGAAGAUUGGUAUAAGUUUGGAUUGUGGUAUAUGACUUGUCCGUACUUUUGGUUGAGGUCCUAGGGAUGAUUUCGGGUGGUUGACGGGAAGUUUGGAGUUGGAAAUUUGCUGCUGAAGUUCCUGCCAUAACCGCACCUGCGACUUGGAGACCGCAGGUGCGGGCCCGUAAAAGCACAAGGAGGGUCGCAAAUGCGGCCAAGGUCGAGGAAGAUUGGAACCGUAGAUGCGGUGGUUCGAGCGCACCUGCGGCAGAUGCAGCUAAGGUCGUGGAGGUAAGGUUUUUGGACCCUAAACUUGUUUCUAUGAUGGUUUUAACUGUUUAAGCUUGAAAUCUAUGGAAAUUAGUAGCAAAAUUGGGGGUCUAGGGCUUGGAAAUUGGAGACCUUAACCUAGGGAUUUGAGGGGUCAAUUGUGGUCGGAUUUUGGUAUAUUUGCUACGCAUGGACUCGUGCGAGUGUAAGGAUUCCAGUUUUGUGAAUUUUAUCGGGAUCCGAGACGUGGGCCCGGGGGUCGGGUUUAGCCAAUUUCGAGAUUUUCUUUGGUGUUAAUUGGUUAUUUUGGAGUGGGAUUAUUCCCUUAGCAUAUUUUAAUGGUAUAAAUAUGUUUUUGGUUAGAUUUGGAGCAUUCGGAGGCCGAGUCGAGAGGCAAAGGCAUCGCGGGCUAGAAUUUGAACUUGAUAGAGGUAAGUAAUGAUUGUAAAUGCUGUCCUGAGGUUACGAAACCCCGGAUUUCACAUUGUUGUGCUACUUUGAGGUGAUGCACAUGCUAGAUGAUGAGCGUGGGGUCGUGCACCGUUAGGGAUUGUGACUUAGUCUGUCCCAUAUGAUUGUUAAGUCACGUAUUUGAUUAAAACUUAUUUGAUAUCAUCGUGUUUAGGAAAGUAUUAUUAUAUUUUGGGCUGAAUGCCAUAUUUGGGCCUCGUGCCAAUUGUUUUGGACCCUUAAGAGAUUUUUACUAAUAUUCCUCACUGUUUUGAUUUCAUAAAUUUUACUCAGUCAUGUUGUAUUCUACUAUUUUCAUAAACUCAGCCGUAUUUACUCCGUUUUGAUAUUCUAAAUGAUAUUUUGGGAUGAGCUUCAUGUUUUACUGUUUCUUGAGUGGCUUGAAAGGAUUCUGACUGAGUGAGGCCGGGGGCUUGAGUUGUGAGGAUUAUUAUAGGAUCGGGUUGUGCGCCGCAGCAUGUGUACUGGAUUAUGAUACAUGAGAGCCGAGGGCCUGAUUUGUUAUGCCACGAAAUGGCUUGUGAUAGCGCUUGGGCUGUAGGAGCCCCUCAAGGAGUCUGCACAGCCUCAGUGAGCGCAUGCACCCAGUGUGAGAUGUGAUAUUGCUUGAAGGGCUGUUGUUGUUUCAUGUUAUUGCCCGAGGGGCUGAUACGAGUGAUUGUGAGAUGGCCCGAAAGGCUGGUUCUGUUGAUAUUUUGCCCGAGGGGCAGUUGUGGUAUAUGUUUUGCCCGAGGGGUUGUUAACAUUUCUAUUCUUUUCUCACAGUUUUCAUCACUCGCUUGAAACUAUUGAAAGUUGUUUUAAAAAAAGGUUUUACUGAACUGAGAUGUUUUUACGAGUGUUAUUGCUUUACUUGCAUUGUUUUGGACUUAUAUUGUUUUGUUGUAGCGUCAUGCUGUGGUUUACGUGUUUUCUUACUACUCAACUGUCUUUACUUUUAUUACUUACUGAUUUGGCGUACUCACAUUACUCCAUGCACCCUGUGUGCAGAUCCAGGAGUCUCGGGUCACGAUAGCGAGUGCUGAUUUGGCUUCCAACAGGCUUUCGGAGUUGACUAGGUAGCUGCUUAGCAUUCGCAGCCCAGUGCUUCUCCUUCCUAUCUUUAUUCAGCUUUAUAUUAGCUUUGUUUCAGACUAUGUUGUCUUUUCAUAUUCCUAGACGAGUUGUAGUUGCUCAUGAUUGGUGACAUCCCGAUGUCGGGCCGUGUUUUAUCUCUGCACUGUUCUAUUCUAUCUUACAUUUUGGGAUUUUAGCUUAUUAAUGACUUUAAAUGACUUAUUAUAAUUGUUUGGUUGGUUUUGGGGUUUGUGUCAGUUGGCAUAUUUUCACGAUAUGCGUCAUCACGAUCGGCUCCGUUUUAGGGUCGUGACAAGUUGGUAUCAGAGCCUAAGUUACAUAGGUCUCACGAGUCAUGAACAGG